GAUGAACGCUGGCGGCGUGCCUAACACAUGCAAGUCGAGCGAACAGACCAGGAGCGUUCUCCUCGGGGGGUAGCGGCGGAUGGGACAUUGGCACGUUGACCACCUCCCUGUAAUACGGGGGUAACUUUGGGACACCUGAGCUAAUUCCCGAUAAUUUAUUUAAUCGGAUGGUUCAAUAGUUAAAGACGCUGUUUCUGUCCGUGAUAGAUGAGCUCGUGCCGCAUUAGCUGGUUGGUAAGGUAACGGCCUAGCAAGGCAACUAUGCGUAUCCGACCUCAGAGGGUGAUCGGCCACCUGGGAACUGAGACACGGUCCAUACUCCUACGAGAGGCAGCAGUCGGGAAUCUUACGCAAUGGGCGAGAGCAUGACAGAGCAACGCCGCGUGAGUGAUGACGGUCCUCGGAUCGGAAAGCUCUGUUAUUAGGGGAGAACAAAUGUGUAAGUAACUGUGCACGUAUUGACGGUACCUGCAGAGAAAGCCCCGGCUAACUACGUG
rnacentral:rRNA from 1 species